CCUUUUGCUUUUCCCUCUCCUGGCGUAGUUGGACUAGACACUCGGCGCGCACGGCCGCCAUCUCCUCCUCAUGCUUCUUUUGCANUUCUUCAUGNCUCNUCUGCAUCUCUUCCAUCCUCAUCUCCAGAGCGCGUACAAUCCCGCUCGUCUCCUCAGUGCUAGCGUUUCUCGUGGUCACCAUUGGGUAUAAACCUCUGGCCCCACGGUGGGCGCCAAAUGUUUCUACUGUCGGGGUCUAGUCGGUCUGGGCUCUCCGCUGCCGUCCGCUCGGAUCUUUCGUUCGCGAUCGGAGCUUCCCUCUUGUUGUCCUGGAACGUCCGGUCGGGUACCUGCUAAAAGCACUCCGACGCUCAAGUCAAUGUUCGGUUUUAGAAACUAGUGAUAGAAAGAGAAAGUGAGAUAAAUGUGCAUUAAAUGUAACCACCUACCUUUCACCUUUGACUUUUAUUUAUAGUUUUUUCUAUGGGCCAGUGAUUAGCAGAAUCUUAAUCCAGGCCCAAUCGCAAGCCUGUUGGGGUUAAUCUGGUUUUACCUUAACGCUGUGCAGCUUCCAAAAUUUCCGUUGAUCUUCGCCGGACGGCCGUCUCAUUGUCAACGAG
rnacentral:lncRNA from 1 species